UUUCCACAGGAGAUGCACAUUUAGGCAUUCAGCCGUUUCCGGUAAGAAAUUCAGAAAUGCAAUUGGAAAAUGAUACGCCGUCUCCAUCACCCGAAGCACAACCUAUAUACAAUACUAAUGAUGACAACAUUAAUGUACCACAACAACAGCAGAGUCAGGCACGGCCUACUGAGGAAUCAGCAGCUAUUGUAUUUUAUGUAAGCUAUUUUGUACUAAAUAUGUCUG
rnacentral:lncRNA from 1 species